GAUCAGGAACCAUGCGAGCGGACGCUGCCGAACCCCGCCAGGUCCGGAAGGAAGCAACGGUAGGCGGAGGCCCGCGGCGCCGUGGCCCCCCUGAUCAUG
rnacentral:SRP_RNA from 1 species